rnacentral:rRNA from 1 species
AGUGAACGCUGGCGGUAGGCCUAACACAUGCAAGUCGAACGGCAGCACAGUAAGAGCUUGCUCUUACGGGUGGCGAGUGGCGGACGGGUGAGGAAUACAUCGGAAUCUGCUUUUUCGUGGGGGAUAACGUAGGGAAACUUACGCUAAUACCGCAUACGACCUACGGGUGAAAGCAGGGGAUCUUCGGACCUUGCGCGAUUGAAUGAGCCGAUGUCGGAUUAGCUAGUUGGCGGGGUAAAGGCCCACCAAGGCGACGAUCCGUAGCUGGUCUGAGAGGAUGAUCAGCUACACUGGAACUGAGACACGGUCCAGACUCCUACGGGAGGCAGCAGUGGGGAAUAUUGGACAAUGGGCGCAAGCCUGAUCCAGCCAUACCGCGUGGGUGAAGAAGGCCUUCGGGUUGUAAAGCCCUUUUGUUGGGAAAGAAAAGCAGCAGGUUAAUACCCCGCUGUUCUGACGGUACCCAAAGAAUAAGCACCGGCUAACUUCGUG